rnacentral:rRNA from 1 species
AUGCACGCUGGCGGCGUGCCUAAUCCAUGCAAGUCGCGCGAACAGACGAGGAGCUUGCUCCUCUGACGUUAGCGGCGGACGGGUGAGUAACACGUGGAUAACCUACCUAUAAGACUGGGAAAACUUCGGGAAACCGGAGCUAAUACCGGAUAAUAUAUUGAACCGCAUGGUUCAAUAGUGAAAGACGGUUUUGCUGUCACUUAUAGAUGGAUCCGCGCCGCAUUAGCUAGUUGGUAAGGUAACGGCUUACCAAGGCAACGAUGCGUAGCCGACCUGAGAGGGUGAUCGGCCACACUGGAACUGAGACACGGUCCAGACUCCUACGGGAGGCAGCAGUAGGGAAUCUUCCGCAAUGGGCGAAAGCCUGACGGAGCAACGCCGCGUGAGUGAUGAAGGUCUUCGGAUCGUAAAACUCUGUUAUUAGGGAAGAACAAAUGUGUAAGUAACUAUGCACGUCUUGACGGUACCUAAUCAGAAAGCCACGGCUAACUACGUG